UGAAGAGUAGUGCAAAGCGUUGUGUACUGAUGACGGGUUACCUACAGAGGAUGUGGGUUUUAUGUGUGUGGUGAUCUCCAUCUGCUCCGGCAUAGCAGACCUGUAAGUGAGGGAAGACCUCAUUCUUCGAUCAAAUGGAUCCAUAUAGUCAGACUCUCCAUAUGGGACAUCUGGGUUUUUCAGGUCUUCCGGUAGACGGAGUCCAACGUGUGCCUCAACUGGUCCCGACGAUCCAACGUUUGGCUGCAGUGGGAAUUAUAUUUUGGCCAGGUUCGCAUAUCAUGCAGACCGUUGGAGUGGAGAGAACCCUCUGGUUGGCACAGCUCAGCUGGCACGGCGGACCUUGCGUACAGCGUUCUAAACUCCUCAUCGUAGGACUUCACCAGAUGGCCUGUAAUAACUUGCACCAUGCUCAGAUUGAUCCUUCCACAAGACCAAGUAAAGCUGCCAACAGACAAAAAUGAGUUCCAUCUUAGAAAAUCACUGGAAUAACAAAACGAUUUGUGUCAAGCAGCAGAAACUUCCAUAAUCAGAGCAGUCCUAAUUUUCUGGGAAGGAACCGUUCAAUCAGUCAGUAAUUGGACUAAUUAGGUUCAUAGCUACCCUGGACUAUGUACAAAAUGCUUUCUGGUUAAU